CCUGGAGGAGCUGCAGUGCGUGCACAGCGAGCGCCACGUGCUGCUCUACGGCACCAACCCCCUGAACCGCCUCAAACUGGACAACGGCAAGCUGGCAGGGAUCCUGUCCCAGAGGACGUUUGUGAUGCUGCCCUGUGGAGGGGUGGGGCUCUGCUUUCCCUGCUCUGCCUCUUUCCCUGCUCUGUUCCUGGUGCCCCUCUGGGCAUGGGAAGCUCUCACCCAGCCUCAGCUGAAGAGAUUUCUGACUUUCCCGGCUCUGACGUGGUGCUGGUGUUUGGUUAAACACUAAAAUGGGAUAAAGCAGGUGGACAGUGACACCAUCUGGAACGAGCUGCACUCGUCCAACGCCGCGCGCUGGGCCGCGGGCNCCUCCCUG